rnacentral:rRNA from 1 species
UUGAACGCUGGCGGCAUGCUUUACACAUGCAAGUCGGACGGCAGCACAGAGAAGCUUGCUUCUUGGGUGGCGAGUGGCGAACGGGUGAGUAAUAUAUCGGAACGUACCGAGUAAUGGGGGAUAACUAAUCGAAAGAUUAGCUAAUACCGCAUAUUCUCUGAGGAGGAAAGCAGGGGACCUUCGGGCCUUGCGUUAUUCGAGCGGCCGAUAUCUGAUUAGCUAGUUGGUGGGGUAAAGGCCUACCAAGGCGACGAUCAGUAGCGGGUCUGAGAGGAUGAUCCGCCACACUGGGACUGAGACACGGCCCAGACUCCUACGGGAGGCAGCAGUGGGGAAUUUUGGACAAUGGGCGCAAGCCUGAUCCAGCCAUGCCGCGUGUCUGAAGAAGGCCUUCGGGUUGUAAAGGACUUUUGUCAGGGAAGAAAAGGCUGUUGCUAAUAUCAAUAGCUGAUGACGGUACCUGAAGAAUAAGCACCGGCUAACUACGUG